GACGAACGCUGGCGGCGUGCUUAACACAUGCAAGUCGAACGUAAAGGCCCUGCUUUUGUGGGGUGCUCGAGUGGCGAACGGGUGAGUAACACGUGAGUAACCUGCCCUUGACUUUGGGAUAACUUCAGGAAACUGGGGCUAAUACCGGAUAGGAGCUCCUGCUGCAUGGUGGGGGUUGGAAAGUUUCGGCGGUUGGGGAUGGACUCGCGGCUUAUCAGCUUGUUGGUGGGGUAGUGGCUUACCAAGGCUUUGACGGGUAGCCGGCCUGAGAGGGUGACCGGCCACAUUGGGACUGGGAUACGGCCCAGACUCCUACGGGAGGCAGCAGUGGGGAAUAUUGCACAAUGGGCGGAAGCCUGAUGCAGCAACGCCGCGUGCGGGAUGACGGCCUUCGGGUUGUAAACCGCUUUCGCCUGUGACGAAGCGUGAGUGACGGUAAUGGGUAAAGAAGCACCGGCUAACUACGUG
rnacentral:rRNA from 1 species